AUUGAACGCUGGCGGCAGGCUUAACACAUGCAAGUCGAGCGGGGUGAUGGUGCUUGCACUAUCACUUAGCGGCGGACGGGUGAGUAAUGCUUAGGAAUCUGCCUAUUAGUGGGGGACAACAUCUCGAAAGGGAUGCUAAUACCGCAUACGUCCUACGGGAGAAAGCAGGGGAUCACUUGUGACCUUGCGCUAAUAGAUGAGCCUAAGUCGGAUUAGCUAGUUGGUGGGGUAAAGGCCUACCAAGGCGACGAUCUGUAGCGGGUCUGAGAGGAUGAGCCGCGACAGUGGGACUGGGAAACGGCCCAGACUCCUCCGGGAGGCAGCAGUGGGGAAUAUUGGACAAUGGGGGGAACCCUGAUCCAGCCAUGCCGCGUGUGUGAAGAAGGCCUUAUGGUUGUAAAGCACUUUAAGCGAGGAGGAGGCUCUUUUGGUUAAUACCCAAGAUGAGUGGACGUUACUCGCAGAAUAAGCACCGGCUAACUCUGUGCCAGCAGCCGCCGUAA
rnacentral:rRNA from 1 species